AGAGUUUGAUCCUGGCUCAGAUUGAACGCUGGCGGCAGGCUUAACACAUGCAAGUCGAGCGGAAACGAUACCAGCUUGCUGGUAGGCGUCGAGCGGCGGACGGGUGAGUAAUACUUAGGAAUCUACCUAGUAGUGGGGGAUAGCUCGGGGAAACUCGAAUUAAUACCGCAUACGACCUACGGGAGAAAGGGGGCAGUUUACUGCUCUCGCUAUUAGAUGAGCCUAAGUCGGAUUAGCUAGAUGGUGGGGUAAAGGCCUACCAUGGCGACGAUCUGUAGCUGGUCUGAGAGGAUGAUCAGCCACACCGGGACUGAGACACGGCCCGGACUCCUACGGGAGGCAGCAGUGGGGAAUAUUGGACAAUGGGGGAAACCCUGAUCCAGCCAUGCCGCGUGUGUGAAGAAGGCCUUUUGGUUGUAAAGCACUUUAAGCAGUGAAGAAGACUCCUCGGUUAAUACCCGUGGACGAUGACAUUAGCCGCAGAAUAAGCACCGGCUAACUCUGUGCCAGCAGCCGCGGUAAUACAGAGGGUGCAAGCGUUAAUCGGAAUUACUGGGCGUAAAGCGAGCGUAGGUGGCUUGAUAAGUCAGAUGUGAAAUCCCCGGGCUUAACCUGGGAACUGCAUCUGAAACUGUUAGGCUAGAGUAGGUGAGAGGAAGGUAGAAUUCCAGGUGUAGCGGUGAAAUGCGUAGAGAUCUGGAGGAAUACCGAUGGCGAAGGCAGCCUUCUGGCAUCAUACUGACACUGAGGCUCGAAAGCGUGGGUAGCAAACAGGAUUAGAUACCCUGGUAGUCCACGCCGUAAACGAUGUCUACUAGUCGUUGGGUCCCUUGAGGACUUAGUGACGCAGCUAACGCAAUAAGUAGACCGCCUGGGGAGUACGGCCGCAAGGUUA
rnacentral:rRNA from 1 species